GCCGUACCAUGCUGAAUAUACCGGUUCUCGUUAGGUCACCGAAGUCAAGCAUCAUUGGGCGCGGUCAGUACUUGGGUGGGUGACCACCUGGGAACACCGCGUGCCGUU
rnacentral:rRNA from 1 species